rnacentral:tRNA from 3 species
GGAGGGGUGCCGGAGCGGCUGAACGGGGCGGUCUUGAAAACCGCUAGGGCCCCGCGCCGGGCCCGCGUGGGUUCGAAUCCCACCCCCUCCGCCA